CGCGGGGUAGCGCAGCAGUUAGCGCGUUCGGUUCAUACCCGAAAGGCCGAGGGUGCAAAUCCCUCUCCCGCAACCA
rnacentral:tRNA from 1 species